CAGCACGUCUGACAUGAUGUUCCGUGCCUCGUGUGACAUUCUGAGCGUAAGGGACAAACUGCUCUCCCAGCUCUUUGUCUUUGCUGUGAAAAAGAGAACCAGAAGGUGUGUUAGUUCACUUCGGCAUCUUACAGAGAACCUGAAGGUGUGUUAGUUCACUUCUGAAUCUUACAGAGAACCUGAAGGUGUGUUAGUUCACUUCUGAAUCUUACAGAGAACCUGAAGGUGUUAGUUCACUUCGGCAUCUUACAGAGAGCCUGAAGGUGUUAGUUCACUUUGCCAGUUUACAGGCAAAGACCUCUGUCAUCUACCCAGUGCAGUGAGACCAACACAAGUUCAGCUCGCUAAGGUUACUCCCUACAACAAGUUCAGCUCGCUAAGGUUACUCCCUACAACAAGUUCAGCUCGCUAAGGUUACUCCCUACAACAAGUUCAGCUCGCUAAGGUUACUCCCUAGGCUUUGUGUAACUCCACAGCAUAUUAUGCAAAUGGGCGCCAGUGACAAUGACAGCUCGAACAGAUAAUCAUCUUUGGUUCUCAUUUUCAUCUUAUCUCUACAUGAUCUUGUCCAUUUGCAGGAGCUGCUUAGCAUGAACGGAGAACGGUAAAUUCAUCUGAUAUUUACUUCACUGAUAGUGUAGAUGUGAGGGUCACUGCCCUCUCUAGCG
ensembl:lncRNA